rnacentral:rRNA from 1 species
CCUACGGGAGGCAGCAGUGGGGAAUAUUGGUCAAUGGGCGCAAGCCUGACCCAGCAACGCCGCGUGAAGGAAGAAUGCUUUCGGGUUGUAAACUUCUUUUGACAGGGAAGAGCAGCAGACGGUACCUGUCUAAUCAGCCACGGCUAACUACGUGCCAGCAGCCACGGUAAUACGUAGGUGGCAAGCGUUGUCCGGAUUUACUGGGUGUAAAGGGCGUGUAGCCGGGAUGAUAAGUCAGAUGUGAAAUCCGGGGGCUCAACCCUAGAACUGCAUUUGAAACUGUUGGUCUUGAGUAUAGGAGAGGCAGGCGGAAUUCCUAGUGUAGCGGUGAAAUGCGUAGAUAUUAGGAGGAACCCCAGUGGCGAAGGCGGCCUGCUGGACGACAACUGACGGUGAGGCGCGAAAGCGUGGGGAGCAAACAGGAUUAGAUACCUGUGUAGUC